rnacentral:misc_RNA from 1 species
GAGAAUGACGACGAAAAUAGGAUGCGUUAAGUCAUGUAGUCUGAGAAGGAGAAAGCUGACCACAAACAGGGCCACGAAUAAACCGUGCAUUCUCGUUUUGAGAACGAGGGUGCCAAUACCGAAAAAAAGAAUAAACAGCAGCGAAAAUACCAGAUAGAGUACCGAGAACGAUCCUGUCGGAAAUGGCAGGUGAGUCGACGGAGGAACGAGCAGAAUCAUUACGAUGAGGAGUAAAAAGGUGGUGAUCGUU